rnacentral:rRNA from 1 species
AACUCCUACGGGACGCAGCAGUAGGGAAUCUUCCACAAUGGACGAAAGUCUGAUGGAGCAACGCCGCGUGAGUGAAGAAAGGUUUCGGCUCGUAAAGAUCUGUUGGUAGUGAAGAAAGAUAGAGGUAGUAACUGGCCUUUAUUUGACGGUAAUUACUUAGAAAGUCACGGCUAACUACGUGCCAGCAGCCGCGGUAAUACGUAGGUGGCAAGCGUUGUCCGGAUUUAUUGGGCGUAAAGCGAGUGCAGGCGGGUCAAUAAGUAU